rnacentral:rRNA from 1 species
AUUGAACGCUGGCGGCAUGCCUUACACAUGCAAGUCGAACGGCAGCACGGGAGCAAUCCUGGUGGCGAGUGGCGAACGGGUGAGUAAUAUAUCGGAACGUGCCCGGUCGUGGGGAUAACGUAGGCGAAAGCUACGCUAAUACCGCAUACGAUCUACGGAUGAAAGCGGGGGAUCGCAAGACCUCGCGCGAUUGGAGCGGCCGAUAUCAGAUUAGGUAGUUGGUGAGGUAAAGGCUCACCAAGCCGACGAUCUGUAGCUGGUCUGAGAGACGACCAGCCACACUGGGACUGAGACACGGCCCAGACUCCUACGGGAGGCAGCAGUGAGGAAUAUGGUCAAU